UAAGCAAUAUCUAUCCUCUGAUGCUCGUAGUUUUUUUUUUGGAUUUUCAAUAAUGUAAACAAAAAUUUGUAUGUACAAUGUACAUUGAACAUUGAUAUCACAUAUUAAAUUACAUUUUUUAUAAUAACAAUACUGAAUAUUGCACAUUAAUUUCUGUAUAUGUAGUUAAAACUUACCUUUGCUCAUUAUGUAACAAAAAACCAUCUUCAAUACAAAUAUUAUAUUCCAUGAAACACAUAUAAAAAACAUUCUACAGGUUUAAUUUAUUACGUAAAUUGAAUUAUGAUUUUUUAUUCAUAUCAACUCAGAAAAACUAACAAUUUGUACCAUAAUUAGUUGUUAAUAAUUGUUUUAGAAAAACUAUAUAUUUUGUUAUAUUGCAUGUUAAUAUUUAGUGGUCCAACAUCAUUAAAUAAAGAUAAAUACAAAGAUCCAAAUCAAAUGUUAUAUCCAGGAAACCUGUGAUUAUGGACCAGAAUUUAUUUACUACUAACCGAAAGAGGGGAGUUUUAUACCACAACAACAUCAACAAAUCCAAAAGUACAACGUGCUGCUUAAAGAAUCUAUGCCAAGACGGAUUCACCACGUAAGCAAAGAAAGAUUAGGAGAAAACAUCACUAAAACAUUUGUUCAGAUUCGAUGGUGAUUGUUUCGAAUUGGGUAAUCCGGGUGACAUAAAAUCCUGGACGUGACUUCAAGUGUUUAGACAGUGGGGACAUCUAUUCGACGUCGGCAGGAGAUGCAGUCCGGGCAGCAGGAUAGAUUCGACUGGGACUUGAUGCUUAAUUUAUCAUCAAUGAAAUAAUUUGUGUUAUGUACCAUAUUUACAAGAUUUGCUUCAUUGACGUCAAUCCAUGGAAAGUGGAAUGUGUGAUUGUGGAAAUACCAGUUCCCAAUAAAUUUUGCUAUAUAAAAUAGUUUAAUUUUUAUGUUCAAGAGCUUUAAGAUCAUUUACAAAAAUUGAUAUCCAGAUUAUUAAAUACAAGAUUAAC